rnacentral:lncRNA from 1 species
GGUCUAAUCAUCUUAUUUCACAAAAUUAAUACAAAGUCCUCUAUUACAAAUUAAUAAUUCAAAAAUUACAAACAAGCCCUUUUAAUUUUACAUUUCAGCCCUUGAAUAGUUUCUUAGCACCUAAGAAACCCCUAGGUGGGCCCAGCUGCAUGAAUGCCAUUUGUCUCAUGCUGCUUGCCAUUUGGCUUCCUUCCAACAAGCUGAGAAACACGUGUGAGCCAUGCAACCAACUUGUCCAACACUUGUCCUCAACUUGCACAGUAUUCUACACACUACAAAUAGCAACUACUGUUUUUUUUACUGCGGCCUUUUCACCACUGCCUCAUCGAGCCACCUCCACUCCACCUGCUGGCAAUCCUUCCUGCUGCUUGCUAUUGAUUGCCUCACAUGCUCCUGAUUGUUUUGCUUGUACGAUUAUAGUAGAGUAAAAUGCAUGUUUAGGCAGUACUUUAACAAAGCUAAUCCAGAACCCAUGUGUAUUCUCUGUGAAUAGUAUUGUCAUUUUGCUAAUAGGGAGUAGAACACAUCUACCUACCAGUAAUCACCAUCUUCUUUGCUCACCCAAAUCAGGCAUCUAUGCAUCAGAAUCAACACUACAACUUGUUUCCCUGAUACACUAAAACUUGUUGUCAAUGAGAGAGAGAUGGACUUAGCUUUUCUUAGGAUACUUAGCAGCAGGCCACGCGCUGGACCGCCGGUCCCAACACCGGCAAGCUGGGAAGGAGUAGGCGUGACCCCAGCCUAGCCGUCAUCAGCAAUGGCCGCGGCACCUGAGCCGUGCCGAGAAGCCAUGGCAGUCAUUGUCGUUGUAGUGGUGCGUGCUGCUAGAGAAAUCGUAGGGAGAAGCGUCGUGGUCGCCGAAGAGGAUGAAGUUGGCCGUGCCGGACCCGAGGGAGACGGCUGCGGCCAUGGCAUCCCAAAAGCUAGGGUUGCAGUUUCGGGAUAGGUUGGUGGAGUUUUGUAGAAAUUAAUUUGGGGAUCUAAAAGACGAGGAGUGAGAGAGGAGUCUACGGCUAGUCUCAGCUUGGCCGGACAUGGCCGGAGCAAGGAGAUCAAGGCGGCGGCGUGGUGCCGUUUGUGCUUGCUCGGGAGAGAAAGAGAAAAGGAGAGGCCGAGAGGGAGAUAAGGGAGAGAGAGAACCGAGAGGGAGGAGGAGUACUAGUACUACUUCGUUGGGCUGCUCUCGAGGCUUAGACAAGAGAUUAGCUUUGUCCUUGCUCUUUGCAGCACGUGGGAGCUAGCUAGCAGUAGCUUCGUUAAAAAAAAAGGUGAAAGAGUUAGCAAUAGCACUAGUACACCACACUAGCACACCUCCGACGGACACGCUUGCAUCUUUUAUUUCAUCUGUACGCUAGAGACUAGGUGAGAUUAGCUUAGAAACUUUGUUAGCAAUGCAUGUUUAUUUUGCUUGCUUUACUUUAUUUUAUUUUAUUUUAUUUAUUACAAUCAGUUUUAGGAGAUUUUUAAGUAUGUUUAUGAAUUAAAUAUUAGGAGUUGACUCCGGACAAGUAGGACACCCGGACGGUGUUUCCGAGUUGACCGGAACGCUACCAGGCAAGUCGCAUCCUUUGAAUAUGUCUUCGAAAAUGUUUUUAUGAAAUUUGUCGGAUUUCAAAAUUCUUGCAUGUCACUCAAAAAUAAUUUUUAUACAUAUUAAGAAUAUUUAUGUGGAUCAGGAAGAUCCAUUAGUUUGGUCAGUACUAGAUUUGCCGGCCCGGACAGGGUUACGGCUAGAGUAUAUUCGGCAGGUAGGGAGCUCAGGUAGUAGAGCAACCCGGAUAGGGUUGAUGGAAAGUCAUGGCUCUCCUACAUAGGAAUAUCAUAUAAGGA